rnacentral:rRNA from 1 species
GAUGAACGCUGGCGGCGUGCCUAAUACAUGCAAGUCGAGCGAACAUAUGAGGAGCUUGCUCCUCUGACGUUAGCGGCGGACGGGUGAGUAACACGUGGAUAACCUACCUAUAAGACUGGGAUAACUUCGGGAAACCGGCGCUAAUACCGGAUAAUAUAUUUAACCGCAUGGUUCAAUAGUGAAAGACGGUUUUGCUGUCACUUAUAGAUGGAUCCGCGCCGCAUUAGCUAGUUGGUAAGGUAACGGCUUACCAAGGCAACGAUGCGUAGUCGACCUGAGAGGGUGAUCGGCCAGACUGGAACUGAGACACGGUCCAGACUCCUAAGGGAGGCAGCAGUAGGGAAUCUUCCGCAAUGGGAGAAAGCCUGACGGAGCAACGCCGCGUGAGUGAUGAAGGUCUUCGGAUCGUAAAACUCUGUUAUUAGGGAAGAACAAAUGUGUAAGUAACUAUGCACGUCUUGACGGUACCUAAUCAGAAAGCCACGGCUAACUACGUG